CAGAGGUGCCGAGCGUUAGGCGGAAUCACUGGGCUUAAAGCGUGUGUAGGCGGUCUCGUAAGUGCUUUGUGAAAUCCCACGGCUCACCCGUGGAACUGCUUGGCAUACUGCGAGCCUUGAGCCACUUAGGGGCAACCGGAACAAACGGUGGAGCGGUGAAAUGCGUAGAUAUCGUUUGGAACGCCAAUGGUGAAAACAGGUUGCUGGGAGUGCGCUGACGCUGAGACACGAAAGCCAGGGGAGCGAACGGG
rnacentral:rRNA from 1 species